CGGAGCGUGUGUGUGGAAGCCCUGUCUGUAAGUUAACAUUUAUACAUGCAUUUAAGAAACCAGAGUCAUAUUCCUACCAUGGAACUACUGACCCUCAGCCUGCUACUUACCAUGUGACUGUUCUGAUGUGUUUGUCUCUUCCUGCCUUUUUUCAGGUCAGUAGACAUCACUGCCACCACCACCUGCAUAUGAGUCAACACCACACAAGAAACCAGCCGGUCGCCCAGAGCUGGAUGGGUGUAUUCUAACGCAAGCUCGGCCUGCCACUUCAUCUUGGGACCCAGUUGAAGCAACUUUUCCUGACAAGCCCGGAGGUUCGACCGGAGGUACUGCCAUGCGUCGCAUGCUACGGCGAGUCGCAACCAAUGAUGUUCUAAAACUGUAUAUCAUGCGGGGCAGAAAGGCAAAGAAGGCCUUCCAGGACCUGACUAUCUGCAGGGUUAUAACAGGCAGGUGUUAUUUUAUUGUUCACAUCAGUAUUAUGCUUAGCUUGGCUAAUAAGAGGUUUUAAUUUGACUUGUAACGUUGCUUCAUUUUGACUUCUACUCUAGUGGUCUCCCAGAAAAACU